rnacentral:tRNA from 1 species
UAGAAAGUAGUAUAGUGGGAGUACAGAGGGUUUUGGGCCCUUUAGUGCAGGUUCGGAUCCUGUUUUUCUAU